UAGAGUUUGAUCCUGGCUCAGAAUGAACGCUGGCGGCGUGCCUAACACAUGCAAGUCGUACGAGAAAGACUGUUUUCGGAUGGUCGAGUAAAGUGGCGCACGGGUGAGUAACGCGUAGGUAACCUACCCUUGUAUUGGGGAUAACAGGACGAAAGUUCUGCUAAUACCGGAUGUGACCUGGGGCUGGAGGGUUUCAGGUUAAAGUGGGCCUCUCGAAGAAGCUCAUGUACAGGGAUGGGCCUGCGUCCUAUCAGCUUGUUGGUGGGGUAAUGGCCUACCAAGGCGACGACGGGUAGCUGGUCUGAGAGGAUGAUCAGCCACACUGGCACUGGAACACGGGCCAGACUCCUACGGGAGGCAGCAGUGAGGAAUUUUGCGCAAUGGGAGCAAUCCUGACGCAGCAACGCCGCGUGGGUGAAGAAGGCCUUCGGGUCGUAAAGCCCUGUCAGGUGGGAAGAAGGGUCCUAUCAGGAAAGGGGUGGGAUUUGACGGUACCACCAGAGGAAGCACCGGCUAACUCCGUGCCAGCAGCCGCGGUAAUACGGAGGGUGCGAGCGUUAUUCGGAAUUACUGGGCGUAAAGCGCGUGUAGGCGGGUGAGCAAGUCUGAUGUGAAAGCCCCGGGCUUAACCCGGGAAGUGCAUUGGAAACUGUUUUUCUUGAGUACUGGAGAGGAAGGGGGAAUUCCCGGUGUAGAGGUGAAAUUCGUAGAGAUCGGGAGGAAUACCAGUGGCGAAGGCGCCCUUCUGGACGGUUACUGACGCUGAGACGCGAAAGCGUGGGGAGCAAACAGGAUUAGAUACCCUGGUAGUCCACGCCGUAAACGAUGA
rnacentral:rRNA from 1 species